AAAAUUAGAAAAUAAUAUAAUAUCAUUGUCUGACAAAUAUAUUAUAAUUCUAUUCUAUGUCUUUCACAAUGAAUUAAUUAAUAACCAUUGCAAAUACUGGGUAGAAGGUAGCUUUAAUUAAGUCUCUUUACCCAGCAUUAAUCAUGUAGCAGAUUGUUGACAAUUGAAAUUUAAACUGAAGGGGUAAGCCUUUGAUGGCUAUAAUGCUGAAAAAGGGGCAAUCUUAUAAGGUAGCGGUCGUCGGUCGCAGGUAGCUUCAAAGAGAAGGUCACCAUGUCUCUGUAUUUGAAAAGGCCAACAAAGUGGGCGCCCCGGUACAUGGUUUUAUAAUUCACAGUUGGAAUCCGACCUAUUAGGCCUUGACCCGAAUCGGGAAAUAGUUCAUAGUAGCCUUUACAGAUCCCUUCGAACUAUUAUGGGCUUCAUGGAUUAUCCAUUUGUGAAGAAAGAAGGUGGGGAUCCGAGGUCUUUUCCGGGUCAUGAAGAGGUGCUCAGGUUUCUUGAGGAUUUUGCAAGGGACUUUGGGUUUUUGGAGUUGAUUCGAUUUGGGCAUGAAGUGGUUCGCGUGGAGCGAGUUGAUGAGACGAAUCACGAGUGGGUCGUUGAGUUUAGGACUCGAGAGACCGAGCCAAGAUGGGAGGAGGUGUUUGAGGCUGUAGUUAUUUGUAAUGGUAAAUACACAGAGCCCAGAAUUGCAGAAUUUUCAGUUAUUUCAUUCAUGCCAAAAAAAUUCUUUCGCAUUGUAGUAGUUUGUCACCGCCAUAACUACUUUUGCAAAUGCCAUCUUAAAGAUUUUUCAUCAACUGCAUUGCACUAUAACAGAUAACUCGAUUUCUGUUUACUUGUAUAAUAAUCUCUCUAUUGGGUAGUAACUUGUCAUGUUUUAGGCAGAGACAUUUGGCCAGGAUUGCAAAUGCAUAGCCAUAAUUACAGAACCCUAGAACAAUUUGAAAAUAAGGUGGUACUGCUCAUCGGAAAUUCAGCAAGUGCCCAUGACAUUCUAAAACAGAUCGCUUCUAUUGCGAAACAAGUUCAUCAGGACCUAAUCUCCAGUUGAAAAGACUGGAAAAUCAUGAUAACGUUUGGCAACUUUCAAUGGUUUUUUAAUUAUUUUAUCAUUUAAUUAAGUUGCACUUUAGACUCGUCAAUUUUUUCUCUGUAAUAAAUUGUGAUUUUUUUUUACAGAUUGAUUGUACACAUAAAGAUGGUAAGGUGUUAUUUCAAAGUGGAUCAAUUGUCAACGCAAAUGUUAUUCUUCAUUGCACUGGGUAUUUAUUAAGAGAUAUAAUUUAAUUUUUUUAAAUAAUUUGUCCCUCUAAAGGGGAAAUAAUUCUAUACAAA